rnacentral:rRNA from 2 species
AUUGCCCUAGUAACGGCGAGUGAAGCGGCAACAGCUCAAAUUUGAAAUCUGGCCUUCGGGUCCGAGUUGUAAUUUGUAGAGGAUGCUUUUGGUGAGGUGCCUUCCGAGUUCCCUGGAACGGGACGCCAUAGAGGGUGAGAGCCCCGUCUGGUUGGACACCGAUCCUCUGUAAAGCUCCUUCAACGAGUCGAGUAGUUUGGGAAUGCUGCUCUAAAUGGGAGGUAUAUGUCUUCUAAAGCUAAAUAUUGGCCAGAGACCGAUAGCGCACAAGUAGAGUGAUCGAAAGAUGAAAAGCACUUUGAAAAGAGAGUUAAAAAGUACGUGAAAUUGUUGAAAGGGAAGCGCUCAUGACCAGACUUGGGCUUGGUUGAUCAUCCAGGGUUCUCCCUGGUGCACUCUUCCAGUUCAGGCCAGCAUCAGUUCGCUGCGGGGGAUAAAGGCUUUGGGAAUGUGGCUCCUUCGGGAGUGUUAUAGCCCAUUGUGUAAUACCCUGUGGUGGACUGAGGACCGCGCUUUUGCAAGGAUGCUGGCGUAAUGGUCAUCAGUGACCCGUCUUGAAACACGGACCAAGGAGUCGUCUUCGUAUGCGAGUGUUCGGGUGUUAAACCCCUACGCGUAAUGAAAGUGAACGCAGGUGAGAGCUUCGGCGCAUCAUCGACCGAUCCUGAUGUUCUCGGAUGGAUUUGAGUAAGAGCAUACGGGGCCGGACCCGAAAGAAGGUGAACUAUGCCUGUAUAGGGUGAAGCCAGAGGAAACUCUGGUGGAGGCUCGCAGCGGUUCUGACGUGCAAAUCGAUCGUCAAAUAUGGGCAUGGGGGCGAAAGACUAAU